rnacentral:rRNA from 1 species
AACGAACGCUGGCGGCAUGCCUAACACAUUCAAGUCGAACGAGAUCUUCGGGUCUAGUGGCGCACGGGUGCGUAACGCGUGGGAAUCUGCCCUUUGGUUCGGAAUGACAGUUGGAAACGACUGCUAAUACCGGAUGAUGACGAAAGUCCAAAGAUUUAUCGCCAGAGGAUGAGCCCGCGUAGGAUUAGCUAGUUGGUGUGGUAAAGGCGCACCAAGGCGACGAUCCUUAGCUGGUCUGAGAGGAUGAUCAGCCACACUGGGACUGAGACACGGCCCAGACUCCUACGGGAGGCAGCAGUGGGGAAUAUUGGACAAUGGGCGAAAGCCUGAUCCAGCAAUGCCGCGUGAGUGAUGAAGGCCUUAGGGUUGUAAAGCUCUUUUACCCGGGAUGAUGAUGACAGUACCGGGAGAAUAAGCUCCGGCUAACUCCGUGCCAGCCGCCGCGGUAA